rnacentral:rRNA from 1 species
AAGUGAGGUAUGAAAUAUCAGGGCUCAACUCUGAAGGUGUAUCUCAAACUACUAAACUUGAGUAUGGUAGAGGCAAGUGGAAUUCCAGGUGUAGGAGUGAAAUCCGUAGAUAUCUGGAGGAACACCAAUGGCGAAGGCAGCUUGCUGGGCCAUCACUGACACUGAGGCACGAAAGCGUGGGAGCGAACCGGAUUAGAUACCCGGGUAGUCCACGCCGUAAACGAUGGAUACUA